UGUGUUCUGAUGGUUUGAAGUUUCCGUUAGCAUUUUAAAUAAUAUAUUUGCACACUUCUCACAACAACCUUAUAAGUAGAUGCCCUUAUUAUCCUAUUUUUUUCAGAGGAGGAAGCUAAUUUUUAAGAGACUCUACUUUCUCAUGGUUUUCCCUUUCUUCUUCUACACAGUGUCUACAUACUUACAUAUACACACCCACAUGAGACUAUAAGUCCUGUGAGAGCAGGGACCUUAUCUAUCUAAUUCAUAGCUGUAGCCCUAGCACCUAGCACAAUGUCUGGUACAUAAUAGGUGCUCAAUUAAUGUUUGUUGAAUGAAUGAAGGAGCAUCUAGUGUUAUCACUAAAGAAAGAUUAGAACCCAGACAUGAUGUUUUCUCCUCACUGCUGAUCUUCAGGAAAUUGUGUCAUCAGAUAGCUGCCUUUUGAGUCAAUGCCAGCCAGUACUUGUAAAAGAGCUUCAAAAUGUAGAACCUACAGGAUCUGACUUGAUUCCUAGGAAUGACUCCAGUAUACCCAAGAGGAGACAAAAGAGGUACUGACAUUAAGAGUUUACGCGAAAGCUUUUGAAAAUAUUUAAAAAUAUAACAAUUUUAUUAAAUAAUAAAUUAAGAAUAAUUAAAUCGUUUUAAGGUGGCAAGACCAUUUUCCCCCUGAAGUUUUCCAAGUUUCUGGCAAUGUGGUCAUAAUACUUGUAUUAGAAAGCAGUACCUCAUUUGUUUGUUGUUUAAUGAUUUGUUUAUAAAGAGAAUCUAGCUUCUAUGAGCUGGUGAUGCAGCGUUAGACAGAUUCCUUAUUUCCAUGCUUUGCUUUUUAUCCUCUGAUUCUAAUGAUCUCCUUCUCCACUGAGGCAGAAUCCUAAAGAAGUAGCAUGGUUAAUUUCAGUUAAAUGCAAGGGAGCAUUUCCUUAUAGUUCAGGGAUUUGCCCAUGGAGUGGGUCCGAAGGAAAAAGAAUUAUCUCUAAAAGCAUACCAACCAAAUGCUGUUUGUUCCCUACAGAUUGAUUAUGCACUAUUUUGCCUGAGUCUGUGAUUUUCUAAAAAUGCUAUCUGCCCUAGGGUUCUGUGAAUGCCAUGAAUAUUGUUGAUAGAUGAUUCUUAUUUCUGUUUUGUUACCCAUAGUUUUAAGCCAUUGAGUAAAACUAAUUCGGUGAGAUUGUAGUCUGUUUAGGUUGACAUUUGAUUUCAGGAGUGGAUUAACACAAAUGCGUUGAAUGGGCAAGCAUGCAAACCUAGCACAUGGCUUGAAUUAGAACAAAUCCGACAGAGCUUCCUGUCAUCCCUUUUAGGGAGAAUCUCAGUCCUUCUCAGCAUCUGUCACCGUUACUUCAAGCACACCUAUAUAUUUCAGGCCAGCUCUUUUGAGACAAACAAUAAAUAUCUACCUUUUUAAGGCAGGAAGUGCUUGGUUAUUCACCUAAGCUGUUGUCAUGGAGCUCUCUGAGUUUCCACUAAUACCUGAGGCCUGAUCAGCUGUGCUGGAAAAGAAACAGCCACUCCCGGGGCAUCAAAAGCCUCUUUAUCCAAAGACUCCAUUCCCUCCAGUAUCCAACUAUUUAGUACCCACUAUAUACCAGGCACUAGGCAGGAGACUGGUGCAGCUCUGCCCUAAAGAUUCACAGUCUGAGUGGAGAGGGAAGUGGGGACACACAUCAAAAGUUAUGACAGUGCAUCCCAGCAGGUGUUUUGAUAGAUGUACACACAAGCUGCCGCCGUGGAAGCAAACAGGAGUAAUUUAGUCUGCUUAGGAGUGGAUGGGGUGGCUAUAAGGAAAUGCUGCUUUGAAGAAGCAACAUUUGACCUGGGUUUUGAAGUUUGAGUAAGAGUUCAUCAGGGAACCAUAAGUGUAAAGGCAUGGAGGUACAACUAUUAUGUACCCACAAAAACUAAAAAAAUAAAAGGCAUGGAGACAUGAAAGAUCAUGGAUUAGGACAAUUCAGAAUUAAAAACUCUGUUUCCCUUAUUACCCUUGGAAUAAUGUGCUUAACAUAGCAAUUUUUUUUUCUUCUUUUUGAGACAGAGUCUCACUCUGUCGCCCAGGCUGGAGUGCAGUGGUGCAAUCUUGGCUCGCUGCAAGCUCUGCCUCCCGGGUUCACACCAUUCUCCUGCCUCAGCCUCCUGAGUAGCUGUUUACAGGCGCCCACCACCACGCCCGGCUAAUUUUUUGUAUUUUUAGUAGAGAUGGGGUUUCACCGUGUUAGCCAGGAUGGUCUCGAUCUGACCUCAUGAUCCGCCCGCCUCGGCCUCCCAGAGUGCUGGGAUCGCAGGCGUGAGCCACCACACCCGGCCUAACAUAGCAAUCUUAAGUCUCCCCUAUCAGUAUCUGUGGAAGGGAUGAAUACUGACUUGAAUUUUAGUUUUCUAUUACUGUAUAACAAAUUACCACAAAUUUAGCAGUUUCACACAGCAUUCAUUUAUUAUUUGAGUUUUCCACUGCUCAGCAGUUUGGUGCGGAUUAGUGUUCAGGUGCUGACCAGAGGUGUCAUCUUGGCUGCAGCUUGCGUCCUCUUCCAAGCUCGUUAAGGCUGUUGGCAGAAUUCCAUUUGAAUUAUAUUGUAGGACUGAGUUCCCUUUCUCUUGCUGGCUGUCAGCCAACCAAAGCCCCUCUCAGGUCUUAGAGGCCGCCUCAGGUUGUAAGCCACAUGCCUUCUCAUAGCUGGAAGGAGAAUAUCUCUUUAGUCUUCUAAUUAUAAUGUAAUAUGAUCCUGGGAGUGACUAUCCCAUGACCUUUUUCGGAUAACAAGGGACUGAUAUCUCAUUAUAUUCCCAGCAGGUGGGAAUCUUGGGAGUCUUCCUAGAAUUGUAUACUAUAGCUAGGAUGAAAACUAACAAAGAAAAUAGUCCAAAGAUACUUGGGGCAAAAACAACAAAAUAAAAAGCCUGGGUUUUUCCCAGUCUGGGACCUUGGCAUUGAAUUUGUUGGGUGGUCUGAUCAUUUAUUCACGUGAGUUAGUUAUUGUUUCACCUCAUCCAUUUAUUUGCAUUAUCUUUGCUCACACUCCCUGAUGCUAAUUCCCUCUGACAGACACAUGGAGUAUCUUCCAUACCCUUCCAACAUUGAUUUUAGGAUUUUAUUGUGAAGAACCAAGUUGGGAAAGUUUAUUUUUAAUUGUUACAGAAAGAAUAUACAUAAUAUAUUAUCAUAUUUUAUAGUAAUACUGUAUUCUGGUGUGAAUUUCAAAUACACUUAACAUGGUGCUUAUGAGCACAAACCAUUGUCAGAGACACCCGAAUUUGAAUGCCAGCUUCAUCAUUUAUUACUAAUGUGACCUUGGGCAAGUUACUUAACUCCUAUAACCUUCUGUUUAGCUUAGGGGUAGGAUUUAAAUUCACUUACUUGUAAGCAGGUAAUGUUCCAGUCCACAGAAGCAAAAAUAAAGUUUUAGCAUGGAUAACUGUGCUACGAUGAAAUAAUUUCUAAACAAAUCAUCAUCAUCAUCACUUUAGAUAAUUACUGGAUGUUAAGUUCCUUGCAGGCAGAGUUGUUCACUGCCCAACACAUGGUACAUAGAAGACAAAUAUCUAUCUUGUCUACUUAAAUAAAUUAAUUGUAUGAUCAAUGGAUCUUAACAAAUGUGUAUAUUUGCUCUCAAAUAUAGAAUUAUAAAUUGGCCUUUUAGUAUAGGAAUAUAGUAUCAGUAUAAAUUAAUGUUAGGUCAGUGAGGUAUCAUAUAUCCCAUUAAAAAAAAAUCUUCUUUGAUUCCAUAUCCCUUCUAGUUACUGUUCCAAUUUUCUGCUGCCUUUCACAGCAACCUUUCACAGCUGCCUUUCACAGCCUUUCCUCACAUGCCAAUUGUACUUCACCUCUCAUUCUCUCCUGGUCCAUUGUAGCCCACUGUUCUCACUGCUCAUUCAUCAAACCUACUAGUAUUUAUUGAGUGCCAGGCACUGUUUUAGGUACUGAGGAAAUAAACGUGAACAGCAAAGUAGCAGGGCGAGGAAAUGUAGUCCUUAAAUAAACAAAUAAGUAUUGGGCUUUCCUUUUUUCCUUUUUUUCUUUACCCAUUUGUUAGUUUCGUUUACAGGUUUCUCUGGCGGCCUUUAAAAGUUAAGUUCUCCAGGGCUCAGUGCUGGGUCCACUUCUCUUAUUUCCCUCAAUUCUCUAUCUACUUGAUCUCAUUCAUUCUCUUGACUCUCAAUCCAUUUCUUGGCUGGUGACUCCGGUGUUUGUAUUUCAGCCCACAUUUCUUUCUUGCAUAUCCAUAGGCUUACACUAAUUGCUAAAUUGCCAGGUUUCGAUCCUGAUUUCUCAAACCACCACCUUCCCCAACCUGUUUAUAUCAGUCUUUUCUGUCUAAAUGAGUAGUGCCCCUGCUUAGCCAUAUAUGCAAACUAAAUACCUACAGUAACCCUUGAUUUUCUCCAUCACACUUCAUGCCUCAAUUUUAAGUAAUUUAUUUCAUUUUUAUCUCUAAAAUCCAUGUGCAAUUUGCCUGUCUGCUUCUCUCUAGCUCUACUCCAAACACCCUGGUCCAAGAUACCAUCAUGUCUGGCAUGGAGUUUUGAAAUCGCCUCCUAACUCAUCUUCCUGCUUCUAUUCUUGAUCCCUUUUCGAUUGUGCUUCACAGGAAGAACAGGAGUUAAACUUUUUUCAGGAGUUAAACUUGAAAAGUUUAAACCAUAUUAGUGUCAUCUCCGUAGUUACAAUUCCAUUGGUGGCUUCCCAUCGUACCCUGAAUAAAAAUAACCCUUCUUGCCAUGACCUACGAGGAUCCACAGCUCCAGUCAAUCGUACUCCCUACUUUGUUCCACGCAUUCUGGCCCUGAGUCACACCGGCCUCUUCCCACCUCAAGGCUAUCAACACAGGCUGUUCCUCCCAUUCCUUGUGUAGCGAGUUUCAAAGUCACCCACUCAGAGAGGGCUGCCUGACUGCCCUGUCUGAGUAGCACCCCCCUACAUUCUCUGUUGCAGUCUCCUUUUUUUUUUUUUUUAAACAGAGCCUCACUCUGUCCCCCAGGCUGGAGUGCAAUGGCGCGAUCUCGGCUCACUGCAAGCUCCGCCUCCCGGGUUCUCGCCAUUCUCCUGCCUCAGCCUCCCCAGUAGCUGGGACUACAGGCGCCCGCCACCACGCCCGGCUAAUUUUUUGUGUUUUUAGUAGAGACGGGGUUUCACCGUGUUAGCCAGGAUGGUCUCCAUCCCCUGACCUCGUGAUCCUCCCGCCUCGGCCUCCCAAAGUGCUGGGAUUACAGGCGUGAGCCGCCGUGUCCAGCCUUUUUUUUUUAAAGCUCCAUAGCAUUUUUUGUCAUUUAUAAUCAUUGUUUGUUUUCUUGCUUAUUGUUUAUCUCUCCACUGGAAUGUAAGCUCCAUGAGGCUAUAUCUGCUUAUUAACUGCAUUAUAUUCCAGGCACAUAGUAAGCAUUCAGUAAAUAUUUGAGGAAUUAAUGUAUAAUAUCAGGGGGAAAUAAAUAUACCUAAUGGCAAUAAGUAUGUAAAUACUGUUUUACAUCUGGAUCUGUCAAGACUUUCUGCCUUUUAGUUCAAGGAAAAUAUUCCAUUUCUAUUCUGUGUUUUUAAAAAUCUCUGCCUAGAAGUUCUUGCCAUGAGCUUAGUGAUAAUGUGGUGAGCAAAAAUGUCUGUUAUCUAGAAUUGACUAUGACUGUGAUCACCAUGGUGCAAGGUUUGUGCCCUUUGUAUAGCGCCUACCAAGGAGCUAGAAGGACUUUUUGCAGUCCUGGGACUAAACCAGCAGAGGGCCAACUAGACUAGAAGUUUAUUUUGGAAGAUUCCUGAACCCUGGUAGCCAGCCUCCUGGUUGUUAAUAGCUUUAAGUGGUCACUGGGGUAGAAGCAUUUGCCAAAACAUCCAGAGAGGAUUGGGGGUUAUGUUUAACUUCUCCAUGGGCGCCUUAAAAACAGCUUGGUAAGGAACAUCUUUCAAAUGUGUAAAUUCUUAGUCCAAAGCAAAUAAAAACACAAAGACAAACAGGGACCUACUUGGCAUUACAUGAAAAAAAAGAGUGUGUAUGUUUAUGGCAGAGAACUCGGGUUAACCCGUAGCCGUACUAUUUUCUAGCUAUGUGUAAUCCUGGCAACUUUCUAAGCCUAGUUCUCUCAAAUAAAAUGGGCCCAAAUAAAAUGGGCUUGUCUGGUUCGAGUUGGUGUUUGAAAAAUAAAAAUAAAAUAAAAUGGGGUUUCCAGCCCACUCUUACAUGCAAUCAGUGGGUGCCAUUAGUAACUGAAUUGCAGGCCUUCCUCCUCUCACUUUGUGGAUUAUUAACAACAUGUUUUCAGUCUUUAAUGGCUUACCCCAAUCUUAUUUAUUUAUUUAUUUUUUGAGACGGAGUCUUGCUCUUUCGCCCAGGCUGGAGUGCAGUGGCGGGAUCUCAGCUCACUGCAAGCUCUGCCCUCCCAGGUUCAUGCCAUUCUCCUGCCUCAGCCUCGCGAGUAGCUGGGACUACAGGUGCCCGCCAGCACACCCGGCUAAUUUUUUUUUCGUAUUUUUAGUAGAGACGGGGUUUCACCAUGUUAGCCAGGAUGGUCUCGAUCUCCUGACCUCGUGAUCUGCCCAUCUCGGCCUCCCAAAGUGCUGGGAUUACAGGCGUGAGCCACCACGCCCGGCACCCCAGUCUUAUUUUUGAUUACUCAUCAGUUAGCAAUACAGUUCAGAUAUGCUUCAGUGCACCAUAUAUUUCAGCAGUAACCAUCUUCUCCCAAGCCCACGGUUGCUCACUGGUCUCCAAGACAUAGCUAAAUGGCUACUGUUGUAUUAUCCCCAGAAACAAAUAAAGCCACCAACUGUCCAGGGGACUGAUUCGGAGAACCAUGUGCUGUGAGAUGGGAGCUCUUGGGAGUUAGAACUGGUUGUGCCAGCUGACACUGAUGAUGGCCUUGGAUGGCCUUGGAUGAAUCCAACCAGAAAAUGUGCUUUCGUUUUCAGAACAUUAACAGCUUCAGGUAAAAGAUAGGCUGCUCAGUGCCAGCUGUUCAUUUUCCCCACAGUUCUAGGCCACCAGCUAUCUAGCACUGUGAUAACACCAGGUAUCUAGCCAUUAAGAUAGAAAUGUAUAAACAUUAGCAUUUGAUGGCUCUGAGUAAUUUUAAAUCCAUAUUGCCAAACAUUAAAAUACCCACGUUCUGCCGGGCGCGAUGGCUCACGCCUGUAAUCCCAGCACUUUGGGAGGCCGAGGCGGGUGGAUCACCUGAGAUCAGAAGUUCGAGACCAGCCUGGCUAACAUGGUGAAACCCCGUUUCUACUAAAAAUACAAAAAAUUAGCUGGGCGUGGUGGCACGUGCCUGUAAUCCCAGCUACUCGGGAGGCUGAGGCAGGAGAAUCGCUUGAACCCUAAAGGCAGAGAUUGCAGUGAGCCAAGAUCGCCCAUUGCACUCCAGCAUGGGCAACAAGAGCGAAAGUCUGCCUCAGAAAAAUAAAAUAAAAUAAAAUACAUCCUUUUUUAUAACACUGACUGUUGGACUUAGAAUUUUUCACUUAGAAAUAGAGACCCAAGGUUAUUUUCUUAAUAAAUAUCAAGUGGAGAAAGAGUCCUGUGGAUGAUAGUCUACUUGAAGAGGCAGAUCCUAGGAGCCUCUACUCUGCCAAGCUUUGGCCUUGGUAAAGGAGCUGCAGUGCCUCCGCUUUGCCACAGGGUGGCAACAGUUGCUUCCCAUUUGAGGAUGGCGGGGUGAAGCAAACCUUGAACUGUAGGGGACACUCCGUUUCUGGCUAGUCUCUCUCUGCAGUUGGAGAAAGCAGUGCAGCUGACUCUUAUGUGUCUUGACUAAAAUCUGUUUCUAGGUUAUCCUCACCCUGGAGGAACCAAUGAGAACAUUGGGUUUGUAGGCCAUCUAUGAAUGGACUGGGACCCCCCAAUGGGCCCAUGCCUUUGGGGGUUGCAUUUUGUCCACCCUGAACUUCAAUCCUUAAAGUCUCUGGAUGAUUUUCAGUUUUUCUCUGUUGAGCAAUUGCAUGGAUAGUAAUGAGAAAUUCAAAAGAAACGGGGAGGUUCUUUUUGGGAGGGGAAAAGGAUAGGAAAGAUGAACACGAUGACAUGUUUGUGUGUGUUUACAGUGUCCUGGGUAUCCAGAAGGCACUUAGAUGUAUAUGGCACAGGAGAGAAGUCUGGGAGAAGGAAGGGUUUCAGAGUCAUCCCCGUGUUAGUGGUGGCUGAUACUGUAGGGGUGGAUGGGGUCACCCUGGGUGGGUAUUGAGAACAACAGGGCACCUAAGACAGAGGCCAGGUAGAUGAAGAAGAAUCCACAAAGGAAACUGGGAUAAAUCGGCCAGAAAGGAGAAGAACCAGAAAGAUAGAGUGUAAUGAAAACAAGGAAAUAGUGUUCUGAGAAGGGGCAGUGGUUACCACUGUCAGGAUCAGCAGAGAGGUCACAUGAAAUAGUAAAAACCACUGGGUGUCAAGUGUUCACUGGGGGUAGCAACACAGAAGUUACUGCUUUGUGGGGGCUUUGGGCAGAGCCGGCUCUGGGGAGUAGUGGGGGCCCACCAUACCUGCAGGGCAUUGAGGGGAUAAACAAGGAAGAAAUGCAACGUAUAAAUGUGUUCCCAGAAUGUCAGGUAAAGGGGAGAUGAGUAAUAGCUGUGGAAGGAUUGGGGGAAGGGUGAAUGAUUUAGAGCUGAGGAGGGUUUCUGUUAAGGUUAUUUUAGGAUGUGAGAAAUUGAACUUGCUGAAGUGCUAAUUGCUAAGAACCAGCAGAGAGGGAGAGUUGAAGAUGUGGGAUGGGGAGCAGCAACUGAGGAGGUGGGAGAGGAUGAGGAAUGGAGCACAGGUGUUGGCCUGUGUCUUAGGUCUUUCCUUCCUCCGUUGGGGAAAAAGGAAAGUGGCAAAAGUGUGCUGGGAUACAGAGCUUUGGAGGUUUUGGCCUCAGGUGUUUGCAAGCACUGUACUAAUUCUAGCCACCUUCUCAAUUAAAAUAAGAAUACAAGAACGAAAUGCAGUCUCCCAAAUCUCUUUUCUUUGCCAGCUUAUACAUUUAUACACCUCACUGAUAUGUCUUUUGAUGUUUUAAAAUUUUGGACAGCACUAUUUUUAACUUUUACAACUAUAACUAUUAGUUAUUUACUAGUUAUAGUAUAAACUUUUAAUAUUUACUUUUUAUAACUCCUAGAUGUCUUGUAGAUCAAAAGAUCUAAAGUGUCAUCUUUGUCUAUUUUAUAUCUUGUUUAAUAGUAAUAAAUGUUUUAGUGAAGCAUAAACCUAGAACAAAAAUAGAAAAUAAUCUUAAUAGGGUGUUGGGGAAUUUUAUGUGAACACUUCAUGUGUCUUUGAAACAGUACAAUGUAAAAAAUUAGCACAGUGUUAUUGCAUGCACAAAAUGUGAAAUAAUGUGAAUCUUCCCCAAAUAACAAUUUGUCAAGGAUCACAAUUUCAAAGUAGUAGGCUUAGUAAUUCUAAACAGUGAUCGGUAGAAUUUGUCAUCAUCCUCAAUUAGGAUUGUUCUUGAAUUUUGUGAAUUUUCAAUCACGAGUGAGAUCUUUAGUCCAUUCCUUAAAUAAAAUGUGACUAUCUUAGAAUGUCAAAGAGGGACACAGAAAACUAGAUAACAACUCCUGAAAUUAAGUUUGCUGUAUGGCAACUACUAAUUGCUCUGCCAGUUGUCUGACUGUAGAAUAAUCCUUGUGAAAUAUUCACUUCUAUAUGAGUUGGAGCCUGGGUAAGUCUGAGCCCCAGUAUAUUUUCAUGGAAGUCACUAGAACCAGAUGUAAAUCCUCGGUUCUCUAGAGAAACAGACAAACAGAACCAUUAGAAUGUAUAGAGAGACAGACAGUUAUUUUAAAGAGUUGGCUCAUAUAAAUGUGGGGGCUGGCAAGUUGAAAAUUUGUAAGACAGACUGGAGACUUGGGCAAGAGUUGAUAAUUUUGAGUCUGAAGACAGUCCAGAGGCCGAAUUAUUUCCUUUUCAGAGGACCUCAGUCUUUUCUCUUAAGGUCUUCAACUGAUUAGAUGAAGUCCACCCAUAUUAUAGAGAGUAAUCUGCUUUUCUUAAAGUUCACUGAUUUAAAUAUUACUCACUUUAAUACCUUCACAGAAAAAUCUAGUGUUGGCUUAUGAUCACACAACUGGGUACUAUAACUUAGGCAGUCUGACACAUGAAAUUAAUAGGGUGUUGGGGAAUAAAAUUAACACAGUUGUCAUCAAGCCCCCAUUUUCUAAGGAAAAUUAUUAUAAUCCACAUAAAUAUGGUAUUUUGCUUUUGAAUCUCUCUAGUAGAGUCUGGGUCUCAAAUUGUCUUCAUGCACAGUGUCAUGCUUACCCUCACAAUCACUUACUGGAGGCAGGCAAGGAGGGUGAGUAUUCCUUGCCACCUUUUACAAAUGUGGAAAAAGAAACUCAGAGAUGAGACUUAUCUAGGGAUACAGCUUGUCUUCUGGUCUGUUCAGGCUGCUAUAACAAAAAUUCCACAGACUAGGUGGCUUAAAUAACAAAGGUUUAUUUCACAGUUCUGGAGGCUGGGAAGUCAAAACCAAGGUGCUGGCAGAUUCCGUGCCUGGGGAGAGACUGCUUCCUGAUUCAUAGGUGGCUGUCUUUCAUUGUAUUCACAUGGCAGAAGAGAUGAGAGAGCUCUCUGGGGCCUCUUUUAUUACCAUCACAUUGGGGAUUAGGCUUCAACAUGUAAAUUUUAAGAGGAACACAAACAUUCCAUCCAUAGCCCAGCUAGUAUUUGUGGGAUCAGAGCCUGAGCUGGACCCUGGUGUUUUCCUCUUCUGUCUGUCCAGCACAUCACACUGCUUCUUUGGCUAGUUGAUCUAGUUGAUUAUAGGUACUGUACAGAUGCAGAAAGGGUUAAACCUUGACCACAAGGUUUAUCCUUAAGGAUGAUCCUCACUCCUGGGCUCAUUGUUGAUACUUCUUUGUAUUUGCUUCUUUAGCCUCAUUGUGAAUUGGCAUUGAUGAUGAGGAAGAGCUUGCCUUCCUCACUAGACUAUGAGAUUUGCAAAUGCGCACACAGUAUCUGCCUCGCUUUUUGUGUCUGUAGUGCCUAGACAAGGCCAGGCAAAUAACACCCACUAAAUAUUUGUUGAAACAACCUUGCCAUAUUUGCUCCCUUGAAAUAGCCAUUGACCUCUGAGACACCAGCAAGUGGGACUCGUGUUAUUCCAGUCAAGAUUAUCCAGCCUUCGCAACAUGUAAAUAUAUCUGGAGCAUUUUGACGGUAAUAACCUAAAAGUCACCGGCAUUUCUCACACUUGGUCACUUAGGACUGCAAUUUCCUGGAAAGUGCUUUAAAUAUUUCUGGAGAUUGCCGGGCAUGGCAGCUCAUGCCUGUAAUCCCAGCACUUUGGGAGGCCGAGGCGGGCAGAUCACAGGGUCAGGAGAUCGAGACCAUCCUGGCUAACACGGUGAAACCCCGUCUCUACUAACAAUAGAAAAAAUUAGCUGGGCGUGGUGGCGGGCGCCUGUAGUCCCAGCCACUCGGGAGGCUGAGGCAGGAGAAUGGCGUGAACCCAGGAGGCAGAGCUUGCAGUGAGCCGAGAUCGUGCCACCGCACUCCAGCCUGGGCAACAGAGCGAGACUCUGUCUGAAAAAAAAAAAAAAAAAAAAAAUUCUGGAGAUCAUAGAGCAAACACCAUAUAUGAUCCUGAGCAAAAUGAAUUGGUCCACUUCUGUGGGACAGUUACCCAUUUUCCCCUUUUCCUCCCCUUGUCCCCUUAAGUUCGGCACCACCAUGCCCUUCAGCUAUGAUUGUCUCCCAUUACAGCUGGUGGGUGCCCCCAAGCUAUGCAGCCUCAGGGUGUUCUGUUGUAGUGGGUGCUGACUUGGGAGGGCAACGGAAAAUCCCCUCAGUGUAUGCUAUGGUCUGAAUGUUUGUGUCUCCCCCAGAUUCAUAUGUUGAUGCCUAAUCCCCACUGCAAUAGUAUUAAAAGAUAGGGUCUUUGGGGGUGAUUAGACCUUGAGGGCUUCACCCUUACAAAUGGGAUCCAUGCCCUUAUGAAAGAGGCCAGAGGAAGCUCAUUUGCCCUUUCCACCGUGGGAGAACACAGGAGACGGAGCCACUGUGAGGAACAGGCCCUCACCAGACACAGAAUCUACAGGCACUUUAAUCUUGGACUUCCCAGCCCCACAACUGUGAGCAAUAAAUUUCAGCUGUUUGCAAAUCACUUGGUCUAAAGUAUUUUUUACAGCAGCCUGAAUGGACCAAGACAGUGUGCCUUGACAUCCCUAAAUACUAGAGAUUUUUUAGGGAAACAUAGCUUUAUUUUUUUUGCCCCUCUGCCCCACAACUUUCUGUAGGAUUCACAUGGGGGUGUUGGACAUGGAGACAAAGCUAAGCACUGGGAACCAUAGGUUCUAAAAAUCCCAACCUUUCCAUUGACCACUAAGGCAUUAUUUAUUGUCUGGUGCCUUGCAGUUGGCAAGCCGACUCCUCUUUCCUUCAGUCUGAGCUUUCUCCUGGAGGUUUCUAAGUUCCUCAUGCAAAUAGGCUUCUGGCAGAUGUCCUCUCAGACAUAUCUGUUCAAAACUCAGAGUGUUCAAGCUGGGACCUUGUUUCAUGUCAUCUGGAAAAAGAGGGAGGCAACAGGAAGCGUGCUGAGUCACCAGGGAAGCCACAAUCAACAAUUUCCCACAGGUAAUUGACAAAGUGGAUCAGGCACAUGUAGGAAGUGGAAUUGUGGUAACUAAAUUUUAUAUAUUUUGUGGUUUGCAGAAAUACUUUUCUAUAUUCUGUCUCAUUUGAUACAGCCUUUAAAAAGGUUAAAAAUGUUUAUCAUUGCCCACAAUCACACCGCUUAAGCUUUACGAGUUAAAUGUCCUGUUGGCAGGACAGCUGUGUUAGGUUUAAAUGCAUCUCCCCAACCAGCUGUCUUCUAUCCUGGUAGACUAGUACAAUCCUGUGAUAUUUAGCUGAGAAACUAUAAUGUGCUGGGAGUCGCGGUAAACCACAUGUGGAUUUGGGUGGGUGGUGUUUCAGAGACGUGCCGCUUCUGGAAGCAAAUGUUCUGACAAACUGCCUUCUUGGAACCAAUUGGUGCAAAUACCUUGGGCACCACAGUUCGUAAAGAGAACUGUUGAAGGCGGCUGGAAGGGUUUAGCAGACCACAAUUUCGCACCGCAAAUAUAACUGAGCAUGCACUUUUGACCAUGGUGUGCUGUGUGAUGUUAGUAGAGGAAGGGGCACUGGCGGUGGAGGCUGGGGGGGACUUGGUUUGUACAGCAUAGCAGGAAGAGCACUGAGGCAGGAUGCCCAGGGGUUCUAGUCCUAGCUCAGACCAGCUGCGUGGCACUGAACAAGUCCCUUCAGUUCCGCAAAGUUUAGCUUCCCAAUCUAAAAAUGGAGAUAAACUGUCCAGUCCAUCUCACAGGUUUGACAGGGCAGUCAAAUGAAAUAAUAUAUAUAAACGUAUUUUGGAAAGUAUAAAAUGGUACACAGGUGCAAAGCAUCAUUCUCAUGGUCCUUAAUUCUUUCAUCCUCCUGUAUAUAUAUAUAUUUCCAGGUGUAAGUGGCUUUGGGAUUGGAAGAUAGUCAUAUCUUUCAAUCUUAAGUUUCCUUCACGUGGCCUCAGAAAACUGCCCCCCAGUAGUUGCAUGUUAAACUUUGCCAGAAUCAGUUUCCCACCUGGCCUUAAGUGCUCUGCUCUGUAUUGGUGUUGACCUUAGGCGUGAGAAACAUGUGACUGUAAUGAGGAUGGAUGCUUUCUAAAAGCUCAUAAAUAGCAACUUUUUCAUACUGAUAUUUGCUCUGUUCCAUUCUUGCCCUUGUGACUUUACAGAUGUUGUAUUCUGCCAUGAAAUAGGUUAUAGAAGCAGGUUUAAAGUGAAGGAGACUAUGAUUCAGCUGCCAAACCAAAAGUGAAACCUGUCCAUGUGGAUAUAGCAGAUGUCAGUGGAAGAAAGGUGUGCAGAAUUGAAAAGCUUGCUCUCUGUGGUUUAAGAACACACUGUCCUCUUGUGGGCGUCUCUGGCAGCCCAUGAUCGGUACACUUCCUUGAACCAAAUAGCCUAUCAAAAUAUUAUCUAAUACAUUUCUACUUUUAUUUACUCAAUGAGUAAUUACUGAGUGCCUACUACAUGCCAGGAACUGUGGCCCUGAUAUGUUUCAAAACCCAUAAACAUGCAUCUAACUUAUUUAUGUAGGAUCUCCAUCAGGCACUAUCUUCUUUUCUUUUAUUUAUUUAUUUAUUUAUUUAUUUAUUUAAAUUAUACUUUAAGUUUUAGGGUACAUGUGCACAUUGUGCAGGUUAGUUACAUAUUUAUACAUGUGCCAUGCUGGUGCGCUGCACCCACUAACUCGUCAUCUAGCAUUAGGUAUAUCUUCUUUUAACCUUUCCAGUGAAGGUUAAACUCUGACCAGAGGAAUUGAGUGUGUUUACAGAAAAUCAGGGAUGGAACAGAAUUAGACUGCUUUUCCCCUUACUUCCCACUCCCUUACAGCAUGUUCCAUUGGUACUUGAGUCUAGAGGCAUCCAGAGGUGUAAGAAUAACCAAACACAACAAAGAUUAGGAGUAACGAAGUGUUUUCAUGCAGUGCCGCACCCCAGUGAGGUGGGCUGGCUAAAAGGAUGUGAUACAAACUGAUAUCCAGGGAAUGGCAAAGAGGAGUAGCUGGGCCUGUCCAUCAUCUCUUAUCAUGACUCACAGCUCUUGUUUAAGGAAUUUGAAGUCUAGGUGGAUGAAAGGGACAUCAAACUUAAAAUGCACAGCUGCAACCUACUAGAUAGAAGCUGAGAACCCUAUAUGUGGAUCAGGCAGUCACUACUGGAGUUCAGGAGGGGGAUAAGGCAUUGGCCCCCAGAGAAGACAUCACAGAUCAAACUUGAGCUAGACUUCCUUGAGGACGGGUAGGAUGUAGAUGAUAAAGAUUCAGCUUCAGGCAGUAAGAAGUGAAAAGAAACAUACUUUUUAACCAGUAUGUGUUGAGUGGAGGGUGGUUAUGGGGAAGGGAGGAUGGCAGGGAAGGCUGGAUGCAUUUAAGGCUGUCGCCAAGUUUUUCCGCUUAAAGAGCAUCUGGGCACAGUGGCACAUGGUCUAUAUUACUCAGGGCCCUAAGCUCACCUGAGAAGCUCCAGCCUCCCUUCUGCACCUUGCCCACAGAAUGUUCUGUAACACUUCUCUGUCCUUGCAGAUAAAUAGGCUGCCCCAAAUCUAGCGAUACCCUCGAUGGCGGCAGGGGUAGUAGCAGUGGCAUUGGAUGGGACGGUGGGUUGGAUAUUUCCCUUUGUAUUGGUCAAAUACGUGCACAGAUGGCACCAACACCACAGGGAUCUCUGGAGAUGAAGGCAGGUCAGAUCACCUCCCUCAUUUGGUUUGGACAUCAAGGAGACUGCGUGAAUGACCAUCAGCCUCUCUCCAGUCUACCCAAAGGUAUCAGGUAUCCAGCACUAUUCUGAUGGAGAAGCAGUAAGAGUGAGCCUACCUUAGAUCUAUUAAUAGAGCUCAUUCAGCCAAGGAAAAGGAUCCAACUAACCCAGAUGACUACAUGAGCCUAGGUCAUUCACAUGUGGCUUUGGUUUACAUUAUUGAAUUCCUGUGGAGAAGAGGAGUCAGAGCUGUGAAUAAGUCAUAAGUCCCUAUAGAUGAGGUCAUACAGCUAAGGUGAUGAGGCCAAUAUUCAAACUCAAGCAUCUGGAUUGCAGGCUGCACUUUUGAUCGCCAUGUCUAGCCUCCUCUAUACACCUGCUCUGACCGAUUUGGUAUCCACCACGCCCAUGAGGCUACUGAACACCUGAAAUAUGGCUGGCUGGAGUUGUGAUGUACUCUAAGUAUAAACUACACACCCUAUUUGGAAGACAGUAUUCAAAAAAGAAUAUAAAAAGUCUCAUUGGCAAUUCUUUAUAUCAAUUACAUGUUGAAAUGAUAAUUUGGAUAUAUUGGGAUAAAAAAUUAAUUAUUAAAUUUAAUUUCAUAUUUCUCUUUACUUUUUGAAGUGAGAAGACUAGACAAUUUAAAAUUACAAAUGUAGUUCAUAUUCUAUUUCUAUAGAACAGCACUGCUAUAUACUAUUUUAAAAUAAUAUAUAAAGGCGACUAGAACUGACUCAGGCCAACAUUAUUUUUCAUCAGUAGUUCUAGUUAAAAAUUUUGGUUGGAAGUGGGUGGAUGGGAAGGUUGAAGCCCAUUUUUAAAGAUAAGUUUGGUGUUUUUAUGAA